ensembl:misc_RNA Y_RNA Y RNA
GGCUGGUCCGAGUGCAGUGGUGUUUACAACUAAUUGAUCACAACCAGUUACACAUUUCUUUGUUCCUUCUCCACCCCCACUGCUUCACUUGACUAACCUUAA